UAAGUGAAGAGUUUGAUCCUGGCUCAGAGUGAACGCUGGCGGUAGGCCUAACACAUGCAAGUCGAACGGCAGCACAGUAAGAGCUUGCUCUUAUGGGUGGCGAGUGGCGGACGGGUGAGGAAUACAUMGGAAUCUGCCUGGUAGUGGGGGACAACGUUUCGAAAGGAACGCUAAUACCGCAUACGUCCUACGGGAGAAAGCAGGGGACCUUCGGGCCUUGCGCUAUCAGAUGAGCCUAGGUCGGAUUAGCUAGUUGGUGAGGUAAUGGCUCACCAAGGCGACGAUCCGUAACUGGUCUGAGAGGAUGAUCAGUCACACUGGAACUGAGACACGGUCCAGACUCCUACGGGAGGCAGCAGUGGGGAAUA
rnacentral:rRNA from 1 species